rnacentral:rRNA from 1 species
UACGUAGGGUGCAAGCGUUAUCCGGAAUUAUUGGGCGUAAAGAGCUCGUAGGCGGUUUGUCGCGUCUGCUGUGAAAACCCGAGGCUCAACCUCGGGCCUGCAGUGGGUACGGGCAGACUAGAGUGCGGUAGGGGAGAUUGGAAUUCCUGGUGUAGCGGUGGAAUGCGCAGAUAUCAGGAGGAACACCGAAGGCGAAGGCAGAUCUCUGGGCCGUAACUGACGCUGAGGAGCGAAAGCAUGGGGAGCGAACAGG